rnacentral:tRNA from 8 species
UGAAUUUGCCUAUUUAUCCCUGCCCUUUCACGGCGGCAACACGGGUUCGAAUCCCGUACGGGACGCCA